rnacentral:rRNA from 1 species
UACGUAGGGUGCGAGCGUUAAUCGGAAUUACUGGGCGUAAAGCGUGCGCAGGCGGCUUUGCAAGACAGAUGUGAAAUCCCCGGGCUCAACCUGGGAACUGCAUUUGUGACUGCAUGGCUAGAGUUCGGUAGGGGAGACUGGAAUUCCUGGUGUAGCGGUGAAAUGCGCAGAUAUCAGGAGGAACCACCCGGGUGGCGAAGGCGGCCCCCUGGUCGGAUACU